rnacentral:rRNA from 1 species
CACGUAGGGGGCUAGCGUUGUCCGGAUUUAUUGGGCGUAAAGAGCGUGUAGGCGGCCAUGUAGGUCCGGUGUGAAAACUCGAGGCUUAACCUCGAGAUGUCAUCGGAAACCAUUUGGCUAGAGUCCGGAAGAGGAGAGUGGAAUUCCUGGUGUAGCGGUGAAAUGCGCAGAUAUCAGGAAGAACACCAAUGGCGAAAGCAGCUCUCUGGGACGGUACUGACGCUGAGACGCGAAAGCGUGGGGAGCGAACAGG